rnacentral:rRNA from 1 species
CUACGGGGUGCAGCAGGCGCGCAAACUUUACAAUGCGAGCAAUCGUGAUAAGGAAACCCUGAGUGCCUGUCGAUGCAGGCUGUUCAUAUAUCUAAAUCAUAUGUGAAGAAAGGGCAGGGCAAGACCGGUGCCAGCCGCCGCGGUAAUACCGGCUGCUCGAGUGAUGGCCACUAUUACUGGGUUUAAAGCGUCCGUAGCUUGACUGUUAGGUCUCUUGGGAAAUCUUCACGCUCAACGUGAAGGCGUCUAAGAGAUACCGGCAGUCUUGGAACUGGGAGAGGUAAACCGUACUUCGGGGGUAGGAGUGAAAUCUUGUAAUCCUCGAGGGACGACCUAUGGCGAAGGCAGUUUACCAGAACAGCUUCGACAGUGAGGGACGAAAGCUGGGGGAGCAAACGGGAUUAGAUACCCCGGUAGUCCCAGCCGUAAACAAUGUGCGUUAGGUGUGUCGGUAACCACGUGUUACUGAUGCGCCGAAGAGAAAUCGUGAAACGCACCACCUGGGAAGUACGGUCGCAAGGUUGAAACUUAAAGGAAUUGGCGGGGGAGCACCACAACAGGUGGAGCCUGCGGUUUAAUUGGAUUCAACGCCGGACAUCUCACCGGAUAAGACAGCUGAAUGAUUGUCAAUCUGAAGGUUUUACAUGACUAGCUGAGAGGAAGUGCAUG